AUCCCUGACCCGGAAGAGGCCUGGGCCCUAAGAAGUGUGUGGGCCUGGGCCUAUCCCUAACUCUUGAAGAGGCCUGGGCCCAAAAAGAACAAAUAUGGGCCUGGGCCAUUCCCUGACCCAGAAAGGGCCUGGGCCCAAAUGAAGAAGUGAUGUGGGCCUGGGACUAUCCCUGACCUUGAAGAGGCCUGGGCCCAAAAAGAAGAAAUAUGGGCCUGGGCCGAUCCCUAACUCUUGAAGAGGCCUGGGCCCAAAAAGAAGAAAUAUGGGCCUGGGCCUAUCCUUAACCCUUGAAGAGGCCUGGGUCCAAAUGAGAAGUGAUAUGGGCCUGGGCCUAUCCUUAACCCUUGAAGAGGCCUGGGCCCAAAGAAGAGGAAAUAUGGGCCUGGACCAAUCCCAAAACCUUGAGGAGGCCUGGUCCCACAGAAGAAGAAAUAUGGGCCUGGGCCAAUCCCUGACCCUGAAGAGGCCUGGGCCCAAAAAGAAGAAAUAUGGGCCUGGGCCAAUCCCUGACCCAGAAAAGGCCUGGGCCCAAAUGAAGAAGAAAUAUGGGCCUGGGUCAAUCCUUGAUCCUGAAGAGGCCUGGGCCCAAAAAAAGUGUGUGGGCCUGGGCCUAUCCCUAACCCUUGAAGAGUCCUGGGCCCAAAAAAGAAGAAAUAUGGGC
rnacentral:lncRNA from 1 species